GUGUGAGGACUUAGCUUUUUUUGACCUCUGUAUUAGGCUUGACUGCCCUACCCCCACCUUCUUUCUCGUAGUACUACCCACAAACAACUCUAACCUUAGGGAGGAUUUUCAGUGGUUACCUAUUCAAAGUCACCUUUAUCUUUGUAUAUCUAUUGACGAACACUGAAGGUGAAUCUACCGGCAACGAUGAAUUGCAAUCCAAUCUAGUGGUAAAUCCGAGCAACAAGAUCUCUACCUUGAAGUUAACUGAUGAUAAUUUUCUUUUGUGGAAAUUUCAAAUUCUCACUGCCCUAGAAGGUCAUGGUUUGGAAUCACAUUUGGAAGAUGGUCCGCCUUCUAAAUUCCUUCAGGAAUAAAUAAUCAUGAGGAAUGAAACAUAAAUGGAUCGAAUUGAGAGGAAAAUCAUAGUCUGCGGAGUGAGUAAAGAAGACAUGACGACACUUAUUGGAGUCCAAAUACAUGAGGGAACAUCACUAGGUGAUAACUCUCCAUAAGAUAGUAUUUUGUGGCUUAAUUUAGGGAAUAUUGGUGUGUAAAUUGCAAGAGUCCUUGAUAAAAUAGCAAGAAAAGAAUGAAUUUUAGUGAACCAAGGGCCUAAGCUGUUAAAGUUAUUGAUAUCCUGCUUUUAAAUGAAGUUGAGUUUAUUUUAUGAUAUUUUGGAUAGGAAUUAAAGAAUUUAGAAUGAGUAAGCCGAGAGCUGCUCAGACUGAUGAUUGCUGCUGGAGCUUGAGUUAAAAAGAUCUAAUGCUGGAGCCUGUUGGGAUCAGCUGGAUGCUCUAGCGAAUGUGACUUUGUAGUAACUUGUUGUCCCAGUUUUUACCACGUCCGUAUAGCUUUUAGGCGUUACCAUAAAUUUAAAGGCCAAGUAUAAAAAGAGAAUUGUGUCCAUCUACAAAAGGGGUGACACGACAUAAAUCAAUUUCGGGCAUCGAAAUCAGAGACAUUCCUUGUCCAUUUCGAGGUAGAAAUUAACGUAAGAGGAGCAUUUUCUGGCAUCAUUGUUGAGCUCGGAGAUAAUCCACCAUUACCGAAGCUUCUUUACUUUAUGAGCUCCAUUUCUUUUUCACCAAUUCUUUUAUUUUCCUCUAGCAUGAACUAAACCCCAC